UGGUGGAGUGAUUUGUCUGGUUAAUUCCGAUAACGAACGAGACCUUAACCUGCUAAAUAGCCAGGCCGGCUUUGGCUGGUCGCCGGCUUCUUAGAGGGACUGUCAGCGUCUAGCUGACGGAAGUUUGAGGCAAUAACA
rnacentral:rRNA from 1 species